GACGAACGCUGGCGGCGUGCUUAACACAUGCAAGUCGUACGAUGACCCGGCUCUUCGGAGCUGGUGAUUAGUGGCGAACGGGUGAGUAACACGUGGGUGACCUGCCCUGCACUCUGGGAUAAGCCCGGGAAACUGGGUCUAAUACUGGAUACGACCAGUGGCCGCAUGGUCUGCUGGUGGAAAGCCCUUCGGGGUGGUGUGGGAUGGGCCCGCGGCCUAUCAGCUUGUUGGUGGGGUGAUGGCCUACCAAGGCGACGACGGGUAGCCGGCCUGAGAGGGUGUCCGGCCACACUGGGACUGAGACACGGCCCAGACUCCUACGGGAGGCAGCAGUGGGGAAUCUUGCACAAUGGGCGAAAGCCUGAUGCAGCGACGCCGCGUGAGGGAUGGCGGCCUUCGGGUUGUAAACCUCUUUCGGCAGGGAACAAGCCUGGGGGUUUUCUUCUGGGUGAGGGUACCUGCGGAAGAAGCACCGGCUAACUACGUG
rnacentral:rRNA from 1 species